GGUUGUAGCUCAGUGGUAGAGUGCUCGCCUAGCAUGCACGUGGCACUGGGUUCCAUCCUUAGCACCA
rnacentral:tRNA from 1 species